AAUAGAUACCCCGGUAGUCCACGCUGUAAACGAUGGGUACUAGAUUUGGUGGGUCUUGACCCCCGCCGAAUCGGCGCUAACGCAAUAAGUACCCCGCCUGGGAAGUACGGUCGCAAGACUAAAACUCAAAGGAAUUGACGGGGGCCCGCACAAGCGGUGGAUCAUGUGGUUUAAUUCGAAGCAACGCGAAGAACCUUACCUGGAUUUGACAUCUCUGGACAUCCGUAGAGAUACGGCUUUCGUAGCAAUACGACCAGAAGACAGGUGCUGCAUGGCUGUCGUCAGCUCGUGUGGUGACAUGUUGGGUUAAGUCCCGCAACGAGCGCAACCCUUGUCCUUAGUUGCCAGCGAGUAAUGUCGGGGACUCUAGAGAGACUGCCGGUGUUAAACCGGGAGGAAGGCGGGGAUGACGUCAAGUCCUCAUGGCCUUUAUGACCUGGGCUGCACACGUCCUACAAUGGCGUCUACGAAAGGGAAGCAAGCUCGCGAGAGUAAGCAAAUACCCAAAAAGGGCGCCUCAGUUCGGAUUGCAGG
rnacentral:rRNA from 1 species